rnacentral:rRNA from 1 species
GACGAACGCUGGCGGCGUGCUUAACACAUGCAAGUCGAACGGAAAGGCCCUGCUUUUGUGGGGUGCUCGAGUGGCGCACGGGUGAGUAACACGUGAGUAACCUGCCCUUGUCUUUGGGAUAACUUCAGGAAACUGGGGCUAAUACCGGAUAGGAGCUCCUGCUGCAUGGUGGGGGUUGGAAAGUUUCGGCGGUUGGGGAUGGACUCGCGGCUUAUCAGCUUGUUGGUGGGGUAGUGGCUUACCAAGGCUUUGACGGGUAGCCGGCCUGAGAGGGUGACCGGCCACAUUGGGACUGAGAUACGGCCCAGACUCCUACGGGAGGCAGCAGUGGGGAAUAUUACACAGUGGGCGGAAGCCUGAUGCAGCAACGCCGCGUGCGGGAUGACGGCCUUCGGGUGGUAAACCGCUUUCGCCUGCGACGAAGCGUGAGUGACGGUAAUGGGUAAAGAAGCACCGGCUAACUACGUG